rnacentral:miRNA from 1 species
GAGAAUUGGGGUCUAGCAUC